GAGCCAGCAGUUCCCAGGCCCGGGCCACUUCACCACCUCACCUUUUGCCCUGACUCUAGGACCUGAGACUUGUCACAGUGCCAGAGGUCCCAGCUGUGGGUGGGCGGGGUUGAGGAGGGAGGAGUGAGCCCCCUGAACUAGACUGACCUGCUCCCGAAGGGUCCCGUCAGUGAAGAAUGGCUUUUGUGGCAGGAAUAGCACCCCAUGGGGCCCAAAGUCCGUCAGCAUCUGCACUGAGCCUGCAGAGCCCACAGAAACCUCCAUUGUGAGAUCUCCCAGAAGAGGCAACUGCCUGUCUCCUCUCUUCCUUGUUCCCCAACAGAAAAGAAUGGAUUCUACCACACCGUCCCCGCCUUCACCCCACCCCUAGGGCCCAGGCUGGGUCAGAGGCAGGGAGGGCCUGGCUCUCACCCCGUGUACUCGUCCAGAGGCCACCCAGAACCCGGAGCAAGGAGAAAUGCUGUGUCUGCUGGCUCUGCCGCUGGCCACCCUGGGGGUCUGUGUCAGAGAAGAGAGGGGGCGUGAGGAAGAUGGGCAGGGUCAGUAUUGCUGUGGGGGAGGCACUGCUCCCGGGAGCCACCACCUGUGGAUUAUUAUGGGCUGACUUGCAUCCUCCCAAAAUCACAUGCUGAAGUCCAGCCCCCUAGUGACUCAGAAUGUAACUGCAUUCGGAGGCAGGGUCUUUUUUUUUUUUUUUUUUUUUGAGAGAAAGUCUUGCUGUCACCCAGGCUUGAGUGCAGUGGAGCUAUCUCAGCUCACUGCAACCUCCGCCUCCUGGGUUCAAGCGAUUUUCCUGUCCCAGCCUCCUGAGUAGCUGGAUUACAGGUGCCCACCACCGUGCCCAUAUUUUUAGUAGAGACAGGGUUUCACUAUGUUGGCCAGUCUGGUCUCGAACUUGUGACCUCAGGUGAUCUGCCCACCUCAGCCUCCCAAAGUGGUGGGAUUAUAGACGUGAGCUUCCGUGCCCAGCUGGAGGCAGGGUCUUUAAAGAGAUGAUGUUAACAUGAAGUUGUUGGGGUGGGACCCUAAUCCAAUAUGACUGGUGUCCUCUUAAGAUAGAGGUGGCAGGGGCACGCACAUAUAAAGGAAAGGCCACGUGAGGACACAGCAACAAGGUGGCCAUCUACAAGCCAAGGAGUGGCCUAAGAAACCAACCCUGCUGACAACUUGAUCGUGGACCAUAAGCAUCCAGAAUUGUGAGGAAAUUAAUUUCUAUUGUUUAAGCCAGCCGGUUUGUGGUUUUCUGUCAUGGCAGCCUGAGCACAUUAAUACAGGGGUAGGGGUGGAACUUCUACUCUCUGCCUGGCUGGACAAAGCCCCUUAUGGGACUGAUCUUACUCAGUCUAAUGCCCAUGAGUCUCAAAUAUCAUCACAGAUGAGGACACUAAGAAUCAGGUGGCUAAGUAACUGCCCAGGUUGCAGAGCGGUAUUCAACAAAUUCUAAUGCUGGUGGGUCUUCAUGGCAUCACAGUGUGACCAGAGUACUAAUAACAAGAAUGGGAGUGGUUAAAGCUAAAUGGUUCUGGAGUUUCUGCCUCUGCAUGGAUGCCUGGCUCCCCACAGAACAGCAAUUCCAGUUUCCUACAGACCCUCCUUCAUGCCCAGCCUCUGCACUCAUGGUUGCAUGAAGCUUUCAUUUGGAACAGAAGCAACAGUUAAGGUAUUAGCUCCUAAGAAAAGCAAGUUGAGUGUAGGCCCUGGAAUUCAGACUGAUUUUUGAAAGCUUAUGAUGUGGCCACUGUCCAAGCACUUUCCAUGGAUGAUGAUAUCUAAUCCCUACAACAAGUGAAGGAAGUUCAUUAUGACCUCCUUUUCAGACAUGAAGAAACAGAACAGUUAGGUAAUCUGCCCAAGGAAAGUGUGGAGAUCAAGCAAAUCCUGAAUGCACAGAAAUAUUACAGAUCCACGCAGACACACGGAUACAGACAUCUCUGGGGCUGAGUGAGGUGGGGGAACAAAGACAGACAUGCCCCAAGGAAAGGGGCAGGGAGAGGAAUCAGCGGGAGGAGGAAGCACAGGAAGGGGAGGACACUGCAGAUUCCUGUUAUCUCAGGCAGAAGGUGUGUGUACUUUGCUUCCACUGGCCGGGGAAUGGUGUAAAUUAACACAACAGAUGCCGGAACAGCAACAUCGACUGUGAACUUACAUGUGCCUGGCAUUCCAUUUCCAUUUACUCCUUACAACUCUGCUGCCCAGCUGGGAAAGGGCAGGACUCCAGGGUAACCCAAGCCAGGUGAUGCCACAGCCUGCAGCCUCAACUACUGCUCUGCCAGCCCGCUACUCACGUGUCCAAGCCCCACUCGCUCUCGCCCAGGAUCUCGCAGUCCUGUGACUUCAGGGACAUGUCCAGAAGCGUCUCCCGAAGCUGCCCAAUUCUGAACAAGAAAAGAAAAUCUGAGGCAGGGUCUGGGAGCCAGGUGAAGGUGAACUCCUUUUCCUAUCUCACACCCACGAGUACAUGGUAUGUCUCUGUUCCUUUUUUCACUCAGCCACUUCUGCCAGCAGCACACACUUUGCUCAGGAGCCAGAGGGGUGGGACACGGCCUCACCUGUGCGUGUAGCCAGCCACAUCUGAGAGCGUCGUGGACA
rnacentral:lncRNA from 10 species